GUGAAUCAUCGAAUUUUUGAACGCAAAUUGCACUCUCUUCGGAGAGUAUGCCUGUUUGAGGGUCAGCAUAAAAAAAAUGGACGUAGUGGUUGUUUGGAGGUGAAAUAUGUCGGAAAUUGGGUAAUUUUAAUCGUUUGGGUUUUUAAGGGGCUUAAAAUUUGUUUUAUGACUCAACGAACGUUUAUAAGAUUUUAAUUAAUACAUACGUUUAAGGUAUGGA
rnacentral:misc_RNA from 1 species